rnacentral:tRNA from 1 species
CAGUCUUGUAGCUCAGGUGGUUAGAGCGCACCCCUGUUAAUGGUGAGUUCGGUGGUUCAAGUCCACUCAGACCUACCA